rnacentral:rRNA from 1 species
GACGAACCGUGCAAACGUUGUUCGGAUUCACUGGGCUUAAAGGGCGCGUAGGCGGACGACCAAGUCAGGGGUGAAAGCCCCCAGCUCAACUGGGGAAGUGCCUUUGAUACUGGUCGUCUCGAGGGAGGUAGGGGCGUGCGGAACUUCCGGUGGAGCGGUGAAAUGCGUAGAUAUCGGAAGGAACGCCGGUGGCGAAAGCGGCGCGCUGGACCUCUUCUGACGCUGAGGCGCGAAAGCUAGGGGAGCAAACGGG